GCGCAAACACGCGCGCGCACGCGCGCGCAAAGGGAUGCAGGAUGGCGGUUGGGAACCAGGUGAGUUGCCAUGCUACCCUACGAAAUGCGACGCUCUUCUCAUCUCCAUUCCUACCGCCACCAUCUCGAUGGUUUUGAAUGUUGCAACUUGCAAGCAAGGAUUGGCAUGCCGGCCAUGCACUUCAUGCCAGCCAGCAGGUUCUGUAUCAACAGGGAACCAACUCCAGGCAAUUGCAUGAUUUUGAACCCCGUGGCAUGGAGCAGUAUCAUUAGGCUUGGUUGCAAAACAUCAGUAGCAAGUAUCUCCUUCAAAUAGUUCAUGAACAAGAAAGACAUUGUGACAAUUUUGUGAACUCAUCAAUCUUUACAAAAGAAUCAAAUAAUCAGUACAAAUACAAGAUUAUUUGCUUCAACCAGCCAAAGAGCACUUCUGAAGCCUAUAUAAAUUGCAAAACCAAGAUCACUCUGUUUCUUCUUAAUAUCCACUUCCCCAAACCCAUACCAGCACUCCUG